UUUUUGACGAGCGCAUCUAUUAGAUUAAAACCAAUCGGAUUUCGGUCCGUCAUUUGGUGACUCUGAAUAGCUAUGGCUGAUCGCAUGGUCUUGUACCGGCGACGUAUCUAUCAAGUGUCUGCCUUAUCAACUUUCGAUGGUAGUUUAUGUGCCUACCAUGGUUGUAACGGGUAACGGAGAAUAAGGGUUCGACUCCGGAGAGGGAGCCUGAGAAACGGCUACCACAUCCAAGGAAGGCAGCAGGCGCGCAAAUUACCCACUCUCGGCAUGAGGAGGUAGUGACGAAAAAUAACGAGACCGUUCUCUAUGAGGCCGGUUAUCGGAAUGGGUACAAUUUAAACCCGUUAACGAGGAUCUAUGAGAGGGCAAGUCUGGUGCCAGCAGCCGCGGUAAUUCCAGCUCUCAAAGUGUAUAUCGUCAUUGCUGCGGUUAAAAAGCUCGUAGUUGGAUCUGCGCCUCAGGACUCGGUCCGCCCACUGGGUGAGAACUGGGCUCCUAGGCUAAUACUGCUGGUUUUCCCUAUGUUGCCUUCACCGGUCGCGUAGGGUGGCUAGCGAGUUUACUUUGAAAAAAUUAGAGUGCUUCACGCGGGCUAUUGUCUGAAUACUCGUGCAUGGAAUAAUAGAAUAGGAUCUCGGUUCUAUUUUGUUGGUUUUCUGAUCUGAGAUAAUGGUUAAGAGGGACGGACGGGGGCAUUCGUAUCGCUGCGUGAGAGGUGAAAUUCUUGGACCGUAGCGAGACGUCCGACUGCGAAAGCAUUUGCCAAGAAUGUCUUCAUUAAUCAAGAACGAAAGUCAGAGGUUCGAAGGCGAUCAGA
rnacentral:rRNA from 1 species